rnacentral:sRNA from 1 species
ACAACUCAAAACAAUGAAAGCCCUACCUCUCUUUCAUCCUUACGGCUCCAAUGACCGUGCCAGUGUGAAUUGCAUGGCAAAAAUAUAA